ensembl:lncRNA
AAAGCAAUGAAUGAGAAUGUGUUUUGAGGAACUUUCUUCUGUGGCAGUGAAUCACUCUGGAUUUGGGACACUGUUUUUCCCGUGCUGUGCUUCGGAAAUAAAAGCUACCCCUGGCUGCAUUGCUAAGCAUCAACGAACACUGAUGGGGAUUAACUAAAACGAGAAGGAAGAGCACAGCUGGAGAGCACCAAAAUGCCCCAGGAGAGGUUCCCCAAAGAGAGGUGAGGUGGAACCGGAGGAGAUGGGGAGCUGAGGGAAAGAAAAUGGAUUCUCUUUGCUGGACGACGAGAAGAUGGAGAGAUUGCCUCGAAAUUAAGAGGUCCUUCAGCGAUCUCAGAGGAAAACCGCAGUUUCUGGGGAGGAAAAAAAAGAGGUUAUUGAGGGCUGGCAGCAAAUCUAUUUACCGGAUCUCCUUGAGCAGCAAUAGCAAAAUAGGCGAUCUCGCACUACAGCGGGACCCCUCCCCAUCAUAAAGGGGCGUCUUCACUUUGGGUUCACUUUCCAUAAUCCGGAUAAUGGAGUAAACCGAAGCAGCUGCCUUUGCGGAGGGGAAAUCCGUCCCCUGAUCGGUCCUCGGGAGAGGGCGGGUUGUAAUAGCGGCGGGGCGAUGCGCAUUGCGGGCACCUCCCGGAGCCAUGGGGGGGUCGGACGGCGCAGAGGGGGCUCCAGGAGCUCAGGGGGGGAACCCCAGAGCCGGAGAUGCCACAAAGAGGGAAGAAAAACGAUCUGUUUUCCUCGGACAACUUGAAAACAGGUAACGUCGAAAGGUUACAGAGGAGGAGGGUGGAGGAAAGCUUCCCUCCUGUUCAGGGGCAGCGGUGUAAUUCGGGCAGCACAGAGAGCAAGCGGGGGAAAAAAAUGAAGAUUAGAGGUGAUGAAUUAAAAAAUAAAUAAAAUUAUUAAUCAGUGCUGGAAUUAUUUCUCCGCUUUGCGGUGUUAUCUCGGAACUGCGUUGUCAGUUUUUCUCAUGGUUUGUUUCGUUUUUGUGCUGCUGUUUGUUCGUUUUUUCUGUACUAUUUAACUAAAGGAGGGGGAAAAAAGAAACCUUUCCUAUCCGCUGCGUUAACGGAGAGAGAAAAUACGUAUUUGUGGGUUGGAUAAUUUGCUUUCUUGGCGACGUCGGCAAAGGCAGCGAGUUGGGAGGGGGGGAAAUCCGGGUGGGAAUGGGCUCACGGCUCUCCGGGUCGG